CGGAGGCAGCAGUGAGGAAUAUUGGACAAUGGACCAAAAGUCUGAUCCAGCAAUUCUGUGUGCACGAUGAAGUUUUUCGGAAUGUAAAGUGCUUUCAGUUGGGAAGAAGAAAGUGACGGUACCAACAGAAGAAGCGACGGCUAAUACGUGCCAGCAGCCGCGGUAAUACGUAUGUCGCAAGCGUUAUCCGGAUUUAUUGGGCGUAAAGCGCGUCUAGGCGGUUUGGUAAGUCUGAUGUGAAAAUGCGGGGCUCAACUCCGUAUUGCGUUGGAAACUGCCAAACUAGAGUACUGGAGAGGUAGGCGGAACUACAAGUGUAGAGGUGAAAUUCGUAGAUAUUUGUAGGAAUGCCGAUGGGGAAGCCAGCCUACUGGACAGAUACUGACGCUAAAGCGCGAAAGCGUGGGUAGCAAACAGGAUUAGAUACCCGGGUAGUCG
rnacentral:rRNA from 1 species